rnacentral:rRNA from 1 species
GAUGAACGCUGGCGGUAUGCUUAACACAUGCAAGUCGAACGGUCACUUCGGUGAUAGUGGCGGACGGGUGAGUAACGCGUGAGAAUCUGUCUUCAGGUCGGGGACAACAGUUAGAAAUGACUGCUAAUACCGGAUGUGCCUUUGGGUGAAAGAUUUAUUGCCUGAAAAAGAGCUCGCGUCAGAUUAGCUAGUAGGUGGUGUAAGAGACUACCUAGGCUCCGAUCUGUAGCUGGUCUGAGAGGACGAUCAGCCACACUGGAACUGAGACACGGUCCAGACUCCUACGGGAGGCAGCAGUGGGGAAUUUUCCGCAAUGGGCGAAAGCCUGACGGAGCAAUACCGCGUGAGGGACGAAGACUUUUGGGUCGUAAACCUCUUUUCUCAAGGAAGAUGAUGACGGUACUUGAGGAAUAAGCAGCGGCUAACUCUGUG